rnacentral:rRNA from 1 species
GACGAACGCUGGCGGCGUGCUUAACACAUGCAAGUCGAACGGACAGGCCCUGCUUUUGUGGGGCGCUCGAGUGGCGAACGGGUGAGUAACACGUGAGUAACCUGCCCUUGACUUUGGGAUAACUUCAGGAAACUGCGGCUAAUACCGGAUAGGAGAUCCUGCUGCAUGGUGGGGGUUGGAGAAUUUCGGCGGUUCGGGAUGGACUCGCGGCUUAUCCGCUUGUUGGUGGGGUAGUGGCGUACCAAGGCUUUGACGGGUAGCCGGCCUGAGAGGGUGACCGGCCACAUUGGGACUGAGAGACGGCCCAGACUCCUACGGGAGGCAGCAGUGGGGAAUAUUGCACAAUGGGCGGAAGCCUGAUGCAGCAACGCCGCGUGCGGGAUGACGGCCUUCGGGUUGUAAACCGCUUUCGCCUGUGACGAAGCGUGAGUGACGGUAAUGGGUAAAGAAGCACCGGCUAACUACGUG